AUCGAGUGUUUCACUGGCUCACCCCGAA
rnacentral:sRNA from 1 species